rnacentral:lncRNA from 1 species
GGCAACGCUGCGGCCCCGCCCACGUCAUGGCGCCUGAGGAGAACGCGGGUACCAAACUCUUGCUGCAGAGUUUCGAGCGCCGCUUCCUAGCGGCGCGCACACUGCGCUCCUUCCCCUGGCAGGUGGGCGGCGGGGCGAGCGGAGAGGCCUGCGGGGCUUGCGGAAGUCCAGGGGCAGACGGGAUGGGUCUCCCUGCUGAAACCCCCGGCGCUCCUGCCACCACGAGGCUGUCCACACGGAGCUUUUGGACGAGCUGUACGAGGCGCUGGCAGAGACCCUGAUGGCCAAGGAGUCCACCCAGGGCCACUGGAGCUAUUUGCUGGCUGGGCUGGGAUCAGAUGGGAAGCGGAAGCUCAUCAUGACCAGAAACUGUUUCCCUAUGGAGAGCACUUGGAGAUGGCAAUGCUGAACCUCACACUGUAGGACUCAUACACGACUCCAACGGGAUUGUUAGAAUCAAAUCACUCUCGUGGGAAGAAUUUUUAUAUGGGAAAGCGGAUAAAACUUUCAUUGGACUGGAAUGUUUGGAGAAUGUUAAAUUCCAAAUCAGGAACCACAAUCUGCCCUCUAAUAAGACAUCGGCUAUCUAAGCAUGUGGGUGCCCCCUUUCUGCCAGCAGUUCUGGUUCUUAAGAAAAUCACCAUAAAUCAGACAUGAAAAUUCUGGCUCCAAAAA